AUGCGUGAUCAGGUCGGCAUCGACCUGGACGGCUUCCCCCUCGACCACGAGUUCCCGAAGGACUAUGGGCUAAAGGAAGAGGACGAGUGCGACAUCGAAGUGGAGCCUUUGUUUGAGGACGAGCUCGCCAAUCAAACCGCCGGUCCUAAGCCGAAGCGUAAGAGCAAGCGCACGAAGGCGUACACAGCUGCCGAUGACAAGCUUCUUUGCGAGUGUUGGCGAGACAUUGGACAAGACCCAAAGACGGGCGCCGAGCAAAAGCAUUCGACCUUUUGGACUCGUGUGCACCGCGAGUUUCAUGAGCGCAAGAAGUUUCCACCUUACCAAUUUGUGAGCACGCGCGGGUGGGUCUCCAUUUUCAAGCGGUGGAGGGUGAUCCAACAAGAGUGCAACAAGUUUUGCGCCACCCUUGAGAGUGUCAAGGCCCGCCCCGUGAGCGGCAUCGGCGUGCAAGACAUGUAUGAUAGCAAGCAAGCCGCCCUCUUUUGUGCCAAGAUCAUCCUUUUACGUCUUCAUUUGCUAUCACUUGCCCAUUUGCUUGCAUGGAAAACAUUUUAUAGGCAUUUCAAACUUUGGAGGCAUUCAAGGUUCAACAUAAUGGCAAGUGCUUCAACCUCUCCCAUUGCUAUCGGGUCAUCAAAGACAAAGAGAAGUUCAAGGCACAAUAUGCCGCACUCAAGGCACGUGGGGGGAAGGGCGUCGUGGAGGAUGUUGGGGAGGGUGAGCCGGCACGGCCGCGGGGGAAGACCAACUCCAAGAAGUAGGACAAGCGAGAUGCGGCCACCAACGCCUUGA
rnacentral:rRNA from 1 species